AUUUUGUUAAUGCAAUUUGUGUUUAAAUAAUUGAUGUCGGCCAAUUUCAAACGUGAGCUUCUAAAGGCCUCGCAAGCUGAUUUGAUGCGUUAUCUAUCACCCUGUUGAGCGAAGUCGGUUGUUUUCAUUACAAGACAAAUGUGCGCUCACUUUUUGUUAUGAGCUCAGGCGGCACCCAGUUUAGAGCGUCCGUCAUCCCGAGUGUCCUUGGAAGUUCUUGUAAAUCACAGACUCCUCAUUGGAAGACGCUUCCUACUUCAGGAUGAGCUACUUCCUCAAAGUGUGGCCCCAUUUUACUCUGACAUGGCAUCUGCGGUGGAUUUGGGGAAACAAGCUUUACUUGGCCAGCGUCCCUGCGUCUCUGAGUCCAGGCUGAGCCUCACUCUGGGAAUUCGUGGACAGCUGCUCACCCUUCUGAUCGGCUGUCUGUGGAUGCUGUGGACACCUGCUCACCC
rnacentral:lncRNA from 13 species